rnacentral:rRNA from 1 species
UACGAAGGGGGCUAGCGUUGCUCGGAAUCACUGGGCGUAAAGCGCACGUAGGCGGCUUUUUAAGUCAGAGGUGAAAUCCUGGAGCUCAACUCCAGAACUGCCUUUGAUACUGGAGAGCUUGAGUCCGGGAGAGGUGAGUGAAACUGCGAGUGUAGAGGUGAAAUUCGUAGAUAUUCGCAAGAACACCAGUGGCGAAGGCGGCUCACUGGCCCGGUACUGACGCUGAGGUGCGAAAGCGUGGGGAGCAAACAGG